UGGGGAAUUUUGCACAAUGGGGGAAACCCUGAUGCAGCGACGCCGCGUGAUUUAGAAGGCCUUCGGGUUGUAAAAAUCUUUUCUAUGGGAAGAAAAUGACAGUACCAUAGGAAUAAGGACCGGCUAAUUACGUGCCAGCAGCCGCGGUAAUACGUAAGGUCCGAGCGUUGUCCGGAAUCAUUGGGCGUAAAGGGUACGUAGGCGGGUAAGCAAGUUAGAAGUGAAAUCCUGUAGCUCAACUACAGUAAGCUUUUAAAACUGCUCAUCUUGAGAUAUGGAAGGGAAAGUGGAAUUCCUAGUGUAGCGGUGAAAUGCGUAGAUAUAUGGAGGAACACCAGUGGCGAAGGCGACUCUCUGGUCUGUAACUGACGCUGAGGCUCGAAAGCGUGGGUAGCAAACAGG
rnacentral:rRNA from 1 species